AGUGGCGAACGGGUGAGUAAUAUAUCGGAACGUGCCCAGUCGUGGGGGAUAACGUAGCGAAAGUUACGCUAAUACCGCAUACGAUCUACGGAUGAAAGCGGGGGACCGUAAGGCCUCGCGCGAUUGGAGCGGCCGAUAUCAGAUUAGGUAGUUGGUGGGGUAAAGGCUCACCAAGCCAACGAUCUGUAGCUGGUCUGAGAGGACGACCAGCCACACUGGAACUGAGACACGGUCCAGACUCCUACGGGAGGCAGCAGUGGGGAAUUUUGGACAAUGGACGCAAGUCUGAUCCAGCCAUUCCGCGUGCAGGAUGAAGGCCCUUGGGUUGUAAACUGCUUUUGUACGGAACGAAAAGGUUUCCAUUAAUACUGGGAGCUCAUGACGGUACCGUAAGAAUAAGCACCGGCUAACUACGUGCCAGCAGCCGCGGUAAUACGUAGGGUGCAAGCGUUAAUCGGAAUUACUGGGCGUAAAGCGUGCGCAGGCGGUUAUGUAAGACAGAGGUGAAAUCCCCGGGCUCAACCUGGGAACUGCCUUUGUGACUGCAUAGCUAGAGUACGGUAGAGGGGGAUGGAAUUCCGCGUGUAGCAGUGAAAUGCGUAGAUAUGCGGAGGAACACCGAUGGCGAAGGCAAUCCCCUGGACCUGUACUGACGCUCAUGCACGAAAGCGUGGGGAGCAAACAGGAUUAGAUACCCUGG
rnacentral:rRNA from 1 species